rnacentral:rRNA from 1 species
CACGUAGGGCGCGAGCGUUUGUCCGGAAUUAUUGGGCGUAAAGAGCUCGUAGGCGGCCUGUUGCGUCCGCUGUGAAAGCCCGGGGCUUAACCCCCGGGUCGGCAGUGGAUACGGGCAGGCUAGAGGUAGGUAGGGGAGAAUGGAAUUCCCGGUGUAGCGGUGAAAUGCGCAGAUAUCGGGAGGAACACCGGUGGCGAAGGCGGGUCUCUGGGCCAUUACUGACGCUGAGGAGCGAAAGCGUGGGGAGCGAACAGG